rnacentral:rRNA from 1 species
AGAGUUUGAUCCUGGCUCAGGAUGAACGCUGGCGGCGUGCCUAACACAUGCAAGUCGAACGAAGCACUGAGAAACUGAGAUUCGUCAAGGUUUUUCUUUGACUUAGUGGCGGACGGGUGAGUAAUGCGUGAGCAACCUGCCUUUCAGAGGGGGACAACAGUUGGAAACGACUGCUAAUACCGCAUGACAUAUUUAAGCGGCAUCGCUUGAAUAUCAAAGAUUUAUCGCUGAAAGAUGGG